UUUGCUAGUUUGGAUUGUCGAAGAACAAAGACUGAUUGUUCUGUUCUCUCUAGCUCUUCAAAAUCUCUGUUGAAUCUCUAAAGCCAUUGCUGACCUUGAAGUUUUCACCUUGAUAACUGAUUUUGCUGUUGUAUUGGUGCCAUUUGUGAACCUGGGAAGGAUUUGAAUUCAAAACCCUAGGUUUAAAUGCCGUCUUAAAUGGAAGAUUUUGUUUGUACACAUGUAGAUUUCUGGUGAAUGGGUAAUACUCUGUAAUGGCAGAAACGGAAGAAAAUUUUGAUGUUG